rnacentral:tRNA from 1 species
UCUCUAGUAGUUUAAUAAGAACGUUGGAUUGCAGGUCCUGAGGUGAGUUGUUUCUUAGAGAU